rnacentral:lncRNA from 1 species
AGGAGGCCGGGGAGGAGCAUCCAGGGCGGCCACCGCGGCAGCGGCUGAACUUUGCUCUUUCACGGGAGGCGGGGAGAGCCCCGGGGCUCGGCGGAGCCGGUCCCGCCGCACCCGCAGCCGCACCGGCACCGGGCUGCGAGCGGCGGCGGGGCCCGGAGAGCGGCGAGGGCGAACCGGGGCAGCGCCGCCUCCUUCCUCCUCCUCCUCCUCCUCCUCCUCCUCUCCUCCUCCUCCUUCCAGCCGGUGCCGCGGAGCGCAGGAGCCACCGGGGGCGGGAGCGGCCCCGCAUGCGGCCGGUGCCCGCGGGGGGGAUGCGCCGCGCCCCGGCCCCGCCGCCGCCGCCGCCGCAAACUUUCCGCGGGGCCGUGAACCGGCAGGAGGAGGAGGAGGAGGAGAGCGACAAAUCCCUGAGGGGGCGACCCCAAAAAAAAAAAAACCUAAAAAAGAAAAACUACCCCAAAAAGCGGCGCUUCUCCCAGCCAGCGAUUCCUCGGUAAAACUUACCGAACUCGGCGUGGGGAAGCAACGGGAGGGGAAGAACCGGGAAGGGAAGAACCGGGAGGAGAGAACCGGAGAAGAACCGGGAGGAGAGAACCGGGAGGAGAAGAACCGGGAGGAGAAGAUCCGGGAGGAGGAGAACCGGGAGGAGAAGAACCGGGAGGAGAAGAACCGGGAGCAGAACCAGCGCCGAGAGCAGAACCGGGAGCAGAAGCAGCCUCGGGAGGAGGAGAAGCACCGGGAGGAGCACCGGGAGCAGCAGCAGCACCGGCAGGCUCCGCUCGAUGCGGCGCUGAGCCCCCGCGGCCCCGCGGAGCCAUGGCCAUGGUGGCCGGCGCUUGGGGCGAACCGAACGGCGGCGGAGCCGCCGGCACCGGAGGCGGCGGCGGCGGCGGAGCGGAGGAGGCGGCGUCCCCCGGUGGCGGCGGCAGCGACGCGGAGCACGGCGAGGAGGAGCGGCCCGGGGCCGGCGCGGACUGCGUGGUGUGCGGGGACAAAUCCAGCGGGAAGCACUACGGAGUGUUCACCUGCGAGGGCUGCAAGAGCUUCUUCAAGCGCAGCAUCCGCAGGAACCUCAGCUACACCUGCAGAUCCAACCGGGACUGCCAGAUCGACCAGCACCACCGGAACCAGUGCCAGUACUGCCGCCUCAAGAAGUGCUUCCGAGUGGGGAUGAGGAAGGAAGGUACGGAAAAAAAUCCUGAAAAACCCUGAGGAAUCCCGGGAAUGCCGGGUUUUGGGGGAAAAAAACCCCGUGUUCCCCCCU